rnacentral:lncRNA from 1 species
AUUUGCUUUAUCUGUAUUGCUUCAUUUCAUCUUUAUAGUGUCUUGUGAGAUGGGUGUGUUUAUUCCCAUUUUACAGAGAAUAUCCAUUUAUAUAAUGUCAUGAACGUAUAUCCGAUGACAUCAUUUGCCUGCAAACGUACCCAGUGAGUGGCAGAGUCAUCCUGAAGCCUGCUUUCCGGGCCCUGCCUAUAUUCUGGAAAGCUUCACAUGUGAGAUAAAUGCACUCAAAGAUUCCUCACAAGUAGCUCUUUGGAGCUUCGGAUGUGAAAUGGAUCAUUCCUCAAUCUGUAAUAGACCCUUCUGUGAAGCUCUUCAAUCAAACCAGAGAAUUCAAGCCCGAGGAUACUGAAGACCAGCUCAUCAAGUUGGCAACAGGAAAGAUCAACAGUAAAAACCAGUACUAAUCUCCAUAGCAGAGGAGUGGUGACUAACAGCAUAAAUCUGUAACUUAGCAAACUCA